rnacentral:tRNA from 1 species
UCGGCGCGCUCUGCCUCCGCUCCCUUCGAUAGCUCAGCUGGUAGAGCGGAGGACUGUAGGCGUGCACCUGCGGCCAUCCUUAGGUCGCUGGUUCGAUUCCGGCUCGAAGGAGAGACGCACACGUUUUGUUACUUUGCCUUCAGCCAUGAGGCAAGAUCAAGAAUGUAGUCAAAAAUGUUUAUCUUCGCUUCCAAAUCCUCUGACCCCUCUCUAGAGGAAGAGAUAACCAGCCGUGCCCAGCGGUGGGGGAUUAGCUCAAAUGGUAGAGCGCUCGCUUAGCAUGCGAGAGGUAGCGGGAUCGAUGCCCGCAUCCUCCAGCCUUUUUAUCUCCUUGCCUGUGGUGGCUUUUCUUUUGCUUCUCAUUCCGCUCGAACAAGAGUAGAAAGUCAGCCCUCUGGCAAGAGAUGGGUACGGCGAGCUUGAGGUUACUGCUCUGGAAAACUUCCCAGACAAGGGACAAUGGGUGCUGGCAAAGUUUAUUUUUCUAAUUUUAAAAUUUUAGACCCAUUCACUUUGGGAAGUUCACGAAAUGGGUUCUUUUGCUCUCCAAAAAUGGCGACAGAUUGCAGUCACACCUGUUGCCACUCUGACUCCUUUGUGAUUGGUGAUUAAUAGCUGCACUGCCAGGGACCCAGCUGAGUCAAACUACCCAUAAUUAAGGGGAACUGACAGAUGGGAAAACAAAACAAAAAACAGAGAACUUGGAAAAGGAGUUAAAGGCUACUUUAGAUUUAUGUUGAGCCUAGGAAGCGAGGACUAUUCCACUGCACCUCCACUGCGGACAGUGGGGUUCCCGGGUCUGGACAGAUCCUACGUGGACAGGAUAAAGUCAGGGGAACCUGAGGAGAGCUCCACCGUCCAUCUGACCAUAAGUCUUCUGUUUUGUUUGAUGAAUGACUAGCUAGUUGCUUGAGCUAAACCUGGAUUAUUUUCAAGUAUCUGGAUUUGCAAUUACCUGUGCUGAAGAGACAGAGAGAUCAUCUGUAAGUGAAAUGCCAAGGACAUUCUGGAAUCCUCAGGAAGGGCAGCACUCCUAAGACUGAUCCCCUGGGACUUUCUAAUGCCUCCUGUUCCCAGAAUGCUCUGUCUUGCUUUGCAAGUUUGAAUGAAGAGUUGAUGUUGCUUUUCUAACUACUCUAGGGUGAGAGGAGUUUCUUAUUACCCUAACCAGGAAGUACAAAUCCACCAAAAGAGGGGGACCCAGUUCGUGUUGGAGAAUCCUUCAUAUACAUUCCAAUUUUCCCCCAAGAUUUUUUAAUAUCUCAUGUUCUAGGGCUGGUGUCCAAUAUGAUAAUCACUAGCCACAUAUAGUUAUUUAAAUUUAAAUUAAAUAAAAUUAAAAAUUCAUAUCCUGAGUUGCA